UGCCAGGAGACAGCAUUUAUCCGUGGUGA
rnacentral:piRNA from 1 species